UGGAGGAUUGAGAAGGUUUGGCAGCUAAACCCGUGCUGUUUUAACUGGUUAUAACCUCCUACAUUGAAAGAGUUCAGUAGCAGUCGUAAGCUCCAUGCGAUUGCAGGGAGCAGUGCUGCUUCUGCAUACAUGUC